UACGUAGGGAGCAAGCGUUGUUCGGAUUUACUGGGCGUAAAGGGCGCGUAGGCGGCCUGUCAAGUCAACUGUGAAAUCUCCGGGCUUAACUCGGAACGGUCAGUUGAUACUGUCAGGCUAGAGUGCAGAAGGGGCAAUCGGAAUUCUUGGUGUAGCGGUGAAAUGCGUAGAUAUCAAGAGGAACACCUGAGGCGAAGACGGGUUGCUGGGCUGACACUGACGCUGAGGCGCGAAAGCUAGGGGAGCAAACGGG
rnacentral:rRNA from 1 species